UUUAUAUCAUAGCUCCCACUAACCAAAACGAACCCAAAUCCAUAGCCAAGGACACUUCCUCAACUGGGUCACUCAAAAACUGUAAAACCAUAAACCAAGUGAAGCAGCUUCACUGUCACAUCACUAAGAAAGGCCUCAGUCACAGACCCUCAUCUAAUGUCACCAAGCUCAUUAGCACAUGUGCCGAAACGGGCACUUCUAAAGCUUAGACUAUGCCCGAAAAGCCUUUGACUUGUUUCUUGAAGAAGAAGAAGAAACAAAGGGUGUGUUGUUCAUGUACAAUUCUCUGAUAAAGGGUUACUCUGGUGCUGGGCUUUAGUUACGAGCUAUUGGGCUUUAUGUUCAGAUGUUGCAUUGAGCGCGUGUUUGAAGAUUGUGGCUUUCUAUGAAGGGGUUCAGCUCCAUUAUGGGUUUGGAGGAAGAUGUGUUUAUUGGGAAUUCUUUGAUUCGUUUCUAUGCAGAAUGUGGGGACUUGGAUUAUGCCCAGAAGGUGUUUGAUGAAAUGCUUGAGAGAAACACUGUGUCGUGGACUAGUUUGAUUUGUGGUUAUGGUAGCAGGAAUAUGCCAAAGGAGGCUGUUUCUUUGUUUUUCGAGAUGGUGGCUACUGGGAUCAAACCCAAUUCGGUGACUAUGGUGUGUGUCAUUUGACUCAUUUCCGCUUGCGCAAAGUUGAAGGAUGUUGCUAUGAGUGAGAGGUGGUCUAGUUGGGUGGUUGAUCAAGAGUUUGCAGCAGACGUAGCCAUAGCCAAGUGGCAUUUCAAAACCGAACAGUUUCAGAGCAGCCAAAGUUUCUGUUUCCUAUACCUUGUUUUACUCGUACACUCUCCAUCUGACCAAAGCUAAGCUCUACGAAAACAAAUGGGUUUGGGAAGCGAGGUGAAAACGUUGUCGUUCAUAAGCGAUUUUCUGGAGAAGUGCGGUGGCUGUGCCGUUCUGGACGGCGGGUUUGCGACGGAGCUGGAACGACAUGAAGCUGAUCUCAACGACCCUCUCUGGAGCGCCAAAUGCCUCGUCAGUUCUCCUCACCUCGUCCGAAGGGUACGUACGUAACUUCAGUGAUUUCGUUACUCGAUCUCAUCUCUAAGGUUUAGAGUUCUCUAUAUAUCCAAACAGAUUAUUCCUAUUCUUUUGCUGGCUAUAUAUGAACCCCAGAAAGAUGAAGAUCUUGAAGAGAACGAGAAAAAUGGUCAUAAAAAAAUAAAAAUAAAUAAUAAAUAAAAAAAACAAAAAACAGAAAGCUCUAACUUUGAAUAUGUAUGAAUUAGAUCAUUUGAUUCAUGGUAUAAUUCACAAAGUAAUGUUUUUUGUUGGAUAUAAUGUUAUAUUACCAAAUGGUGAAUCUUGUACCAUUUGUUGGUAAAAAUAUGAAACCGAUCUUCCUUGAAUUGUGUAUAAUAAACUGUUCCAUGGAUGAUGAAAAUGUUAAAAGUAACAUGUUUGUGAAAAAGCCUUGACUGCAUGUGCUUUCCAUUGCAGCCAUCGAGUGGGCGGGUUGAUGAAGAGUUUGCAGAAAUAGUCAUAGAGAAGUGGCGUGAGGCUGGGGCUUCCCUGCUUGGAGGCUGCUGCAGAACUGCUCCAAUUACCAUGAGGGCAUUUCUAAGGCUCUUUCUAAUGAGUCUUCUGCAGUUAGUGACGCUUAGUUGACUUCUGAAAAUGAGAUGUAAAUAUGUACUAAUGCUAAGAAUAAGGGCAUGUGUCUUUUUCAUUUCCUUGUUUUGUAACUCCAAGGAAGUAGCAAAUUACUAUCACCAUGGUGCUGCUGCUGUAUGGUGACUGGUGAUGUUGUUUCACAUCGAAUAACACUGCUUUUGUUA